rnacentral:piRNA from 1 species
UUCUGGUCCAUUUUAAAGCUGGUGAAUCAGGU